GAUGAACGCUGGCGGCGUGCCUAAUACAUGCAAGUCGAGCGAACGGACGAGAAGCUUGCUUCUCUGAUGUUAGCGGUGGACGGGUGAGUAACACGUGGAUAACCUACCUAUAAGACUGGGAUAACUUCGGGAAACCGGAGCUAAUACCGGAUAAUAUUUUGAACCGCAUGGUUCAAAGGUGAAAGACGGUCUUGCUGUCACUUAUAGAUGGAUCCGCGCUGCAUUAGCUAGUUGGUAAGGUAACGGCUUACCAAGGCAACGAUGCAUAGCCGACCUGAGAGGGUGAUCGGCCACACUGGAACUGAGACACGGUCCAGACUCCUACGGGAGGCAGCAGUAGGGAAUCUUCCGCAAAGGGCGAAAGCCUGACGGAGCAACGCCGCGUGAGUGAUGAAGGUCUUCGGAUCGUAAAACCCUGUUAUUAGGGAAGAACAUAUGUGUAAGUAACUGUGCACAUCUUGACGGUACCUAAUCAGAAAGCCACGGCUAACUACGUG
rnacentral:rRNA from 1 species